UACGGAGGGAGCUAGCGUUGUUCGGAAUUACUGGGCGUAAAGCGCACGUAGGCGGCUUUGUAAGUUAGAGGUGAAAGCCCGGGGCUCAACUCCGGAACUGCCUUUAAGACUGCAUCGCUUGAAUCCAGGAGAGGUGAGUGGAAUUCCGAGUGUAGAGGUGAAAUUCGUAGAUAUUCGGAAGAACACCAGUGGCGAAGGCGGCUCACUGGACUGGUAUUGACGCUGAGGUGGCGAAAAGCGUGGGGAGCAAACAGG
rnacentral:rRNA from 1 species